ensembl:misc_RNA 7SK 7SK RNA
GGAUGUGAGGGCGAUCUGGCUGCGACAUCUGUCACCCCAUUGAUCGCCAGGGUUGAUUUGGCUGAUCUGGCUGGCUAGGCGGGUGUCCCCUUCCUCCCUCACUGCUCCAUGUGCGUCCCUCCUGAAGCUGCGUGCUUGGUCGAAGAGGACGACCAUCCCCGAUAGAGGAGGACCGUUCUUCUCGGUCAAGGGUAUACGAGUAGCUGCGCUCCCCUGCUCCUCCAAACAAUAAUAUGAAGCCAUUCACAAAUGAGGAAAUCCAAAUUAAAAGAUCGUCACUAGUAACAGAAAAAUGAAAAUUU